CAGAAUUUAGAAUUUAGAAAGUGGAUCAUUAUGUCUCUAUCGGAAUGAGAAGACAAAGGAAUGACCAAGAACAGAGAAAAUAUUAAGAAAAGCAGGAUGGAGCAUAUAUCCCUUGUUGCAAGAAAAGCAACAAAUGAUCAGGAGAAUUGGGGGCUUACCCAGUGAGCGAAGCUUUGGCAAAAAUGUAAAGCCGUGCAGCACAAUGCAAGAGGAGGCCAAGGACUCCCUGCAAAACCUCAACUUCAAGCCUAAAACAGCCUGAAGGUUGAAAAACUGGACUGCUGGCUCCAGAUGAAGUCCACCCUUUCCCAACUGAUUCUUUCUGAAUAAUGCCCACCUGCACACUCAGAGGAUGGGGUGGGGCCAUGCAAGCUCCCUGCCGGGAACCCAGCCUCUUGAGCUCCUAUGUGGUGGGGCAGGAGCCAGUUCACAGGCUUCCCUCUCACUCUGCUGAGAGUUUUUCUCUUUUCCUUUUUUUUGCCCAAUAAAUUCCAUUU
rnacentral:lncRNA from 1 species